CAGCAGCCGCGGGAAUACAGAGGGUGCGAGCGUUAAUCGGAUUUACUGGGCGUAAAGCGUGCGUAGGCGGCUUCUUAAGUCGGAUGUGAAAUCCCUGAGCUUAACUUAGGUAUUGCAUUCGAUACUGGGAAGCUAGAGUAUGGGAGAGGAUGGUAGAAUUCCAGGUGUAGCGGUGAAAUGCGUAGAGAUCUGGAGGAAUACCGAUGGCGAAGGCAGCCAUCUGGCCUAAUACUGACGCUGAGGUACGAAAGCAUGGGGAGCAAACAGGAUUAGAUACCCCCGUAGUCCCUGUCUCUUAUAC
rnacentral:rRNA from 1 species